rnacentral:rRNA from 1 species
GAUGAACGCUGACAGAAUGCUUAACACAUGCAAGUCAACUUGAAUUUGGGUUUUUUAACUUAGAUUUGGGUGGCGGACGGGUGAGUAACGCGUAAAGAACUUGCCUCACAGCUAGGGACAACAUUUGGAAACGAAUGCUAAUACCUGAUAUUAUGAUUAUAAGGCAUCUUAGAAUUAUGAAAGCUAUAUGCGCUGUGAGAGAGCUUUGCGUCCCAUUAGCUAGUUGGAGAGGUAACGGCUCACCAAGGCGAUGAUGGGUAGCCGGCCUGAGAGGGUGAACGGCCACAAUGGGACUGAGACACGGCCCUUACUCCUACGGGAGGCAGCAGUGGGGAAUAUUGGACAAUGGACCAAGAGUCUGAUCCAGCAAUUCUGUGUGCACGAUGACGUUUUUCGGAAUGUAAAGUGCUUUCAGUUGGGAAGAAAAAAAUGACGGUACCAACAGAAGAAGAGACGGCUAAAUACGUG